UGCAUGUGGGGCGAGCGUUGUUCGGAAUCACUGGGCAUAAAGGGUGCGUAGGCGGUAUGUUAAGUCAGCGGUGAAAUCCUGCGGCCCAACCGCAGCACGGCCGUUGAUACUGGCGUACUGGAGUGCGUGAGGGGUAGGGGGAACGCGUGGUGUAGCGGUGAAAUGCGUAGAUAUCACGCGGAAGGCCAGAGCCGAAGGGGCCCUACUGGUACUGCACUGACGCUGAGGCACGAAAGCGUGGGGAGCAAACAGG
rnacentral:rRNA from 1 species